rnacentral:rRNA from 1 species
CCUACGGGGAGCAGCAGUGAGGAAUAUUGGUCAAUGGACGAGAGCCUGAACCAGCCAAGUAGCGUGAAGGAUGACUGCCCUAUGGGUUGUAAACUUCUUUUAUAUGGGAAUAAAGCGCGGUAUGUGUCCCCUCUUGUAUGUCCCAUAUGAAUAAGGCUCGGCUACCUCCGUGCCAGCAGCCGCGGUAAUACGGAGGAUCCGAGCGUUAUCCGGAUUUAUUGGGUUUAAAGGGAGCGUAGAUGGAUUGUUAAGUCAGUUGUGAAAGUUUGCGGCUCAACCGUAAGAUUGCAGUUGAAACUGGCAGUCUUGAGUACAGGAGAGGUAGGCGGAAUUCGUGGUGUAGCGGUGAAAUGCUUAGAUAUCACGAAGAACUCCGAUUGCGAAGGCAGCUUACUGGACUGCAACUGACAUUGAUGCUCGAAAGUGUGGGUAUCAAACAGGAUUAGAUACCCGGGUAGUC